AAAGCUGAAGUGACUCUUAUAGGCAAAACAUAGUUGGUUUUUGCUUUAAAAUCCUCUCAGCCACAUCAUGUCUUUCAAUUGGAGAAUUUAAUACUUUUACAUUUAGAGUAAUUAUUGAUGAUCAUGGACAUACUGUUGCCAUUUUGCUAAUUAUUUUCUGACUAUUUUCUUGUCCUUUUUUCCUUUCUUUUUCUCCUGCUCUCUUCCUUUGAGAUUUGAUGAUUUUCUGUGGUGGUAUGCUUUGAUUCAUUUAUCUUUAUCUUUUGCGUAUCUACUAUAGAUUUUUGUUUUGUAGUUUGCAUGAAGCUUGCAUAAAACAUCUGUAAGUAUAACAGUCUACUUUAAACUGAUAGCAACUUAAAGUUAAUUACAUACAAGUCUACAUUUUUUUACUUGCCCUGCACAUUUCAUGUUUUUUUUUACAUUUCAUGUUUUCAGUGUUACAAUUUACAUCUUUUUUAUUGUGCAUCCAUAACAAAUUGUUGUAGUUGUAGUUAUUUUUGAUACUUUUGUAUUCUAACCUUCAUACUAGAGUUAUAAGUGAUUUACACACCGCCAUUACAACAUUAGAAUAUCCUGAUUUUAACUAUAUAUUUAUCUUUACAAAAACAUAUUUUUGUUCAUGUAUUCAUUUUCAUAUGUUUUUCCUGUUAGUAAUUAGAUCCUUUGGUUUCUACUUAAAAAACUCCCUUUAUUAUUCCUUGCAGGUCUGGUCUAGGGAUGAUGAACUCCUUCAGGUUUUCUUUGUCUGGGAAAAUCUUUCUCUCUCCUAUUCUGAAAGGCAGCUUUGCCAGGUAUAAUAUCAUCAUCUCACUCCCUUCUGGCCUGCUAGGUUUUGCUGAAAACUCCUCUGGUGGUCCUAUAUAGGUUCCCCUGUAUGUACCAAUUUGCUUUUGUUGUUGUUGUUGUUGCUGCUUUGAAGAUUCUCUCUUCAUCUUUAACUCUUGACAAUUUCAUUUUAUUGUGUCCCAGUAUGGGUCUCUGUGAGUUCAUCUUUUUUGUUACCUUUCAGGUAUCCUGAAUCUGGAUGUCUGUUUCUUUCCUCAGAUUUGGGAAAUUUUUAGCUAUUAAUAUUUUUUGAAUAAGGAUUCUGCCCUUUUUUUCUCUUCUCCUUCUGAAACAUUUAUGAUACAUAUAUUGGUUCAUUUUAUGGUGUUCCAUAGGUCCCUUCAUGUCUUUUCAUUCUCUUUUAUUUUUGCUCCUCUAAUUGGAUGGUUUCCACUGACAUAUCUUCAAGUAUAGUGAUCCUUUCUUGCACUUGAUCGAGUCUGCUGUUGAAACUCUCUAUUGAAUUUUUCAGUUUCGUUAUGGUGUUCUUCAGCGCCAUGAUUUCUGUUUGGUACUUUUUAGAUAUUUUUCAUUUUUUUGUUGAAGUUCUCACUUUGUUCAUGCAUUGCUCUCUUGACUUCAGUAACACCUUUUUAACUAUUAUUUUGAAUGCUUUUUUAGAUAAAUCACUUAUCUCCCUGAUAUUAAGAUCAGUCUGGAGACUUAUUUUGUUUGACUGUUUAGAACAUAUUCUUUUGUUUCUUCACUUUCUCUUUCUCCAUGUACUGAUUUCUUCACAUUACAUGAAACAGUCACCUCUUCCAGUCUUGGUAGUCUGGCCUCAUGUAGGUGUUGAACUUCUCCAGUCAGUCCAGCCCAAGCUUCUGGUCACCUCUUCUACUUUUGUAUUUGUCCAAGCUGCUAUCUUUACUUUCAAUGGCUCCCAGAAGAAGAGGGUGUGCUGAAACGCAUCAGUAUCCCAAAGGCUUAAGAGUUGCCCACAUGCCUAUUCAGGCUUCUGGAGGACUUCUAAUCACCUGUUCUUUUAUCUCCACAAUGCAGGCUAGUUGGAAGCCCAGACUUCAGGCAGAAGCCAGAAGUAUGUUAGAAGUUAGAGAUAUGAUUUAGCUCAUAUUACGGAGAAACUGCUAACUGGGUGUUUUUGUCUACCUACUCUGUGCUGAGCUAUAGGGGAAUAGCUGCUUGGAGUGCUUUUGUACUAUGAAGGGGAGAAAAGGAUCUGAUGUACUGGAAAAUGUUUUAUAUCUUGAUCUGGGUGAUUGAGUAAGUACAAAUAGAUAUAACCCUUCAUUGAGUUGUUUACUUAACAUCCUUUACUGAAUGUAUUCACACCUUAAGGAAAAGGAGAAGUAUUUACUCUGGUUUACUCUCUAAUUCUAGAAUAAAAAUCAAUAAGUCGUGUUGAAAACAGUGAAAAGAACAAAGGAAGGGAAGACCUAUAAGUUGUGUUACAUUUCUCUUCAAACAAUUAAAAGAUGUUAUUUGAAAAAAGAAUUUGCCUUAUUUCAUAUGAUUUUUAAUUGAAGACCAAAGACCAAUAGGAAGAGGUUAGAAGCAGAAAAUUUUCUUUGAUUGUUUAACAGCUACAUAUUUCACCAUCGUAGUAUUUGUGUCCCUCUGUAAUGUGACAUUGCCAUCCCUCCUUUUCAGAAGUGGAGUCUUUUUAUUCCCUCUUUACCUCUGGGCUAGCCUGGUGUGUUUGCCUAGAAAAAUGUAGUAGAAGUGAUGUUGUAUGUGUCUUAGAGCCUAGGUCUCAAGAGACCUGCGGUGUCUCCCUCCAUUCUCUGGGAUCACUACCUAGAGAUGUGCAGUGAAGUCCAUUUAAUGUAGAGAAAGAUGAGCAGCCACAUGUAGAGAAUCAAAAGUCUUCCAGGCCAAAGGCAGCCCCACUUUCCAGUCAGGUGAGUAAGGCCAUCGUGGACCCUCCAGCUCAGACAAUCCUCCAGUUGAAAGCAAUAAUUUAAUUGAGCCCAGGCAAAAAGUGGUAGAAAUAAAACUUCACAGAAAUAAAAAUCAGUUAGUUUUAGACUCACCGUACCAAGUUAUCUUCUAAUUUUUUGAAGAUUUCUACCAGGGAUCAUAAUUCUGUCUAGAACCACUCCCAGGUUAUCCAUAGUUUUUCUACAUUAGAUCAAAAGGUCAAAAAAGGAGUUCCUGUCCUGGAUCAGUGGAAAUGAAUGUGACUAGCAUCCAUGAGGAUGCAGGUUUGAUCCCUGGCCUUGCUCAGUGGGUUAAGGAUCCAGCAUUGCUGUGAGCUACGGUGUAGGUUGCAGAUGCGGCUUGGAUCUGACGAUGCUGUGGCUGUGGUGUAGGACGGCGGCUACAGCUCUGAUUUGACCCCAGCCUGGGAACCUCCAUAUGCUGUGGGU
rnacentral:lncRNA from 1 species